CCUACGGGAGGCAGCAGUGAGGAAUAUUGGUCAAUGGACGAGAGUCUGAACCAGCCAAGUAGCGUGAAGGAUGACUGCCCUAUGGGUUGUAAACUUCUUUUAUAUGGGAAUAAAAUGUUCCACGUGUGGGAUUUUGUAUGUACCAUAUGAAUAAGGAUCGGCUAACUCCGUGCCAGCAGCCGCGGUAAUACGGAGGAUCCGAGCGUUAUCCGGAUUUAUUGGGUUUAAAGGGAGCGUAGGUGGAUUGUUAAGUCAGUUGUGAAAGUUUGCGGCUCAACCGUAAAAUUGCAGUUGAAACUGGCAGUCUUGAGUACAGUAGAGGUGGGCGGAAUUCGUUGUGUAGCGGUGAAAUGCUUAGAUAUCACGAAGAACUCCGAUUGCGAAGGCAGUUCACUGGACUGCAACUGACACUGAGGCUCGAAAGUGUGGGUAUCAAACAGGAUUAGAUACCCCUGUAGUC
rnacentral:rRNA from 1 species